GCUGGGUGUGGUGGCACAUGCCUGUAAUCCCAGCUACUUGGGAGGCUGAGACAGAAGAAUCGCUUGAACCUGGGAGGUGGAGGUUGCAGUGAGCCGAGAUUGCCCCACUGCACUCCAGCCUGGGUGACAGAGCGAGACUCUGUCUCAA
rnacentral:SRP_RNA from 1 species